rnacentral:lncRNA from 1 species
ACUAUUUCAAAGAUCAUUAUGACUAAAGCCACAAACUACAAUUUCACAAGGAUGCUAACAUGUUUUAUAGGUGAAUUUCAGCCAAAAAUCUUCAACUAAUUGAUUGAACAAAAAAUCUGAAACCCACCUCUAAAGUAGAAUUAAUAAACCCAAACAAAACACAAGCUACGAAUCAGAAAUUUCAAGAUAGACAAUAAUCAAUGAACCCAAAUGUCCGUUUCUACAAUAUUAUACAUAGUCAUUAACAUUGUGACAAAACCAAAACCUGACUGAAACAACAUUCGCACACCAUUGUGCAAGGUAAAAAUUGAGAUGAAAUUCAUUCUAUAUCAAAAUACACAAUGAAGAAUCACAACAAAUUAAUGAGUAAUGAGGUUUAGCAAUGGACCUCAAACCGAUGAACUAUGACGGAACUUGAACUGAAAAUCGAUGAUAGUACCUCGAUGUGCGACUGAAACUGAAACUCAGACAACGAUUUCAACAAAGAACCAAUAGAAACAAUCAUCCAAACUCAAUUGGAAAACCCGAAACUCGCCGGAAAACUCGAAUUACACCAGAACUUGGACCUCUCGCCUUUCAUUUCAUUUCGUUACUGCCCUUUACGCUAUGUGUUCUAUUUCUUUUUUUUUUCAAACCCUAGAAACCCGUCCAUUUAUAUUUGUGUGUGCGUCUAUUUGUGAAGCUAAGACUCCAUAGAAACGGAUGGGAAUAGAGCUUUUGUUGGUUCUAUUUUUGUUAGAGAAGAAAGAUUUUAGGUGGUGUUAUGAUUUGUGGGUGUUCUGCGGUAGAAAAAGGUCCGAAGGAUCUAGGGAUCAUUGGUUUCAGGGGUGGACAUCGGGUUUGGGGCCAGGGAUUUUUGGUUUUGUUGUUGAUGAAGGAGAUCGAUGGAGGAGGGUCUGUGUUUUUGUUACAAUAGGAGAGAGCUAGGGUCGUUUAGAGAAGACGACGCGCGCUCGCGCGGGGGGUGGAGGGUGGGGGAGGGCUCUUUUUGAUGUCAGUGGCGCUGCCUUCAACGUAUUUUUUGUGUGUAUUUUUCAUCAUCCCC